CGUUUUCUUUCCUUUAUUCGGAAGAAGUACACUACAACAACACACAGGGUUCACAAUUAUUGGUACUUAAAAAAAACCAAAUGUGAUUGUUGUCGAUGCAAAGCAGCUUCCUUUUGUGGGUCUGGAUGGGUGCGUGUGGACAAGGCAGGCAGGAGAGGAUGAAUGAGAGAGUGUUCACACUGUGGAUGACAGAUGGGGUGAAGUGACGUAAAAGCAUAUGAGUUUCAGUUGAGUGCCCACCCGCUGCUUCCUCCCUCUUUUGGUUUUUGGUUUUCCUUCUUCCUUCUUCCUUCUCCUAUUCCUCUUCCUGUAAAGCUAAAGCUAAAGCAAAAGCAAAAGCAAGUAAGCAGCCAAUCACGCCUCCUUCCUUCGUUAAUUUUAUUGUUAUUUUCGUAUGCUUAGUUGCCACAAUUCAGCAUCAUAACUAACUAACCAUUUUUAAUGAAUUAAUUCUUUCUUCAACUAGAUUGCGUUAGAAAUGAAGCAAAAACCCUUCAAUUGUUCAUAAACAAGGAAUCUAUGUUUGCAUCACUCUCUCACCUCACCCCCACACCACAUCCAUGCUUGCUUAUUUUGAAAUCCCUAAACCCUAAACAGCACUAAUUACCAAAUAAAAUUAAAUAAAACAUGAAUGGAGAAUCCUUCUUUUGAAAAAACAAACAUAAUGAAUAAUGAUAGAUAGAUUCUGUAGAAGAAAAUAAAAAGGAACAAAAUCCAUUAAUUGACUUUGCUCAGAUUACCCAAAAUCCCUUCACCUUAUUUUUCUUUGAAUAAAAACAGAUUUUUUUCCUUGAAUAAAAAAAUAGAUUUUUUUUUCCUAUAGUUUCCUUGCUGAGUAAAUCACUCAACAAAAAUAAAUAAAAAUUAGAAUUUGGAAAAAGUGCCGUUGGGAAGAUGCUCCCCUUUUAAAACAGAGAGAGAUUGUUUUGGUUUAUACCUCAUUGCUUCGC
rnacentral:lncRNA from 1 species